rnacentral:piRNA from 1 species
UCCAUCUUCUCUGGGCAUAGUUCAAAU